UUUAGAUUUUUCUCCCUAAUGAAUCUCUUCUUCAGCUCUUGCAGCCUGUUCAGGAGGUGGCUGCUUAACGAGACAUGUAGCUUGGCUACUGGGCAAACACGCUGGAGCCUGUGUCUGCAAGCUUGCUGAUGCCGCCAGAUGCCUGCCGUGUCGGAGCCGCACACCCGGUGGACUCCGAUGCCCAACCCCUUCUUCUGGAGCUAGUAAUUCAGCCUCUGCUUCCUGCUUGAGUAAACUCUGCAAAAGACCACAUCUGGGGUUUUUCAGCUAGGAGCACGCUUGUGGAGAAAAUAGAGGACUAAUUAUCAAGGAGCCACACAGCAGUCAUUGGGAUAGUCAUCCAAAAGGAACGUAAAAUUCGAAGUCUCUGCAAUCAUACCCAUAGCGCUCUUCUCUCAUUCCUGCAUUGUAGCCAAGGACAGCUGGACAACAUCAGGAUUUAGUACGGAAUUGCUGCCUUGAGGAGAAACAGGGUUUUUAUGCGCUCUGCAUCCCUGCACUGACAAACAGUUUCACUGAGAUCUGAGUCCUCUCCGAAGUACCAGCCAAGUUCUGGCUAAAGACAAGGAGAUCUCUGUGGAGCAGGGUUUGGUUUUCAUUUUUUAGUUGAAAAUGUCGUUUGAUUCUGUGCUACACAGUGGGUCGAGCAAUGAAAUAUGUGUCUCUGAGCCGUAAUGAUAGAUGCUAUUGCAGUUUACAUAUGGCAGGUUUACAUAAUUAGGUUACAUAUGGCAAAAUCUGUACAAAAGGGAAAUUAUGAAUAAUGUGUAUGCCUCUUGCCUUUUCUGUUCCCUCUGCAUGACACUGAAUUUUAAGUUGCAUUUUUCAAGAUUUGUGUAUGUACUAUUACGUAAAUUGCAAAUAGAUGCCAUGAUUUUCUCUGUCUAAAAUUAAAUAGUCUGACACCUGUAUGAGUAUGCUUAUUUGCACAGGAGACUUCAUAGAAAGCCAUAAUUUGUUUAAAUUAUGGCUUGUUAAUGAGUUAAAUGGUUGUGAACAAUCAUCCUUUCCAAAGAUUAUUAGUACUAAUUCUCAUCUCCUUUUCUUGCCCUCCUGCUUAGUGUGUUAAGAAAACAGCUGAGAUUUGUUUUCUUCCCACAAUGCAGUUGAAAAUUACAUAUAUAGUAUUAAAACAGUGUUGGUAGCAAAGCACUUGGAUGAAUGGAAUGGAAGGCUUAAUAAAAAUGAUUGAUUGGA